UACAGAGGUCCCAAGCGUUGUUCGGAUUCAUUGGGCGUAAAGGGUGCGUAGGCGGCGCGGUAAGUCGGGUGUGAAAUCUCGGGGCUUAACUCCGAAACUGCAUUCGAUACUGCCGUGCUUGAGGACUGGAGAGGAGACUGGAAUUUACGGUGUAGCGGUGAAAUGCGUAGAUAUCGUAAGGAAGACCAGUGGCGAAGGCGAGUUCCUGGACAGUUACUGACACUGAGGCACGAAGGCCAGGGGAGCAAACGGG
rnacentral:rRNA from 1 species